UACAGAGGGGGCAAGCGUUGUUCGGAAUUACUGGGCGUAAAGGGCGCGUAGGCGGCCAACUAAGUCGGACGUGAAAUCCCCAGGCUCAACUUGGGAACUGCGUCCGAUACUGGAUGGCUUGAAUCCGGGAGAGGGAUGCGGAAUUCCAGGUGUAGCGGUGAAAUGCGUAGAUAUCAGGAGGAACACCGGUGGCGAAGGCGGGUCUCUGGGCCGAAAUUGACGCUGAGGAGCGAAAGCGUGGGGAGCAAACAGG
rnacentral:rRNA from 1 species